rnacentral:rRNA from 1 species
UACGUAGGGCGCAAGCGUUGUCCGGAAUUAUUGGGCGUAAAGAGCUCGUAGGCGGCUUGUCACGUCGGGUGUGAAAGCCCGGGGCUUAACCCCGGGUCUGCAUUCGAUACGGGCUAGCUAGAGUGUGGUAGGGGAGAUCGGAAUUCCUGGUGUAGCGGUGAAAUGCGCAGAUAUCAGGAGGAACACCGAUGGCGAAGGCAGUGAUCUGGGCCGGUACUGACGCUGAGGAGCGAAAGCGUGGGUAGCAAACAGG